rnacentral:rRNA from 1 species
GACGAACGCUGGCGGCGUGCUUAACACAUGCAAGUCGAACGGAAAGGCCUGCUUUCCCUUGUGGAUUGCGGGUACUCGAGUGGCGAACGGGUGAGUAACACGUGAGUGAUCUGCCCCCAACUUGGGUAUAAGCCUGGGAAACUGGGUCUAAUUCCCGAUAGGACUGCAGGGUGGUGCCUGUGGUGGAAAACGAUUUUCUAGUGGUUGGGGAUGAGCUCGCGGCCUAUCAGCUUGUUGGUGGGGUAAUGGCCUACCAAGGCGGCGACGGGUAGCCGGCCUGAGAUGGUGGACGGCCACAUUGGGACUGAGAUACGGCCCAGACUCCGACGGGAGGCAGCAGUGGGGAAUAUUGCACAAUGGGCGGAAGCCUGAUGCAGCGACGCCGCGUGGGGGAUGACGGCCUUCGGGUUGUAAACUCCUUUCGACCGCGAGGAAGCCACCUGGUUGGAAGGGUGGUGACGGUAGUGGUAGAAGAAGCACCGGCUAACUACGUG